UGCCUUAUCCCUGUGUGUGGGAGAAAUUGGUUAUAAAUAUGGAGCUCCCUCGAUCAAUAAGGAGCACAGUCAAAACUGCCAGUCAGACAGAUAGACACACAACUCACACACAACAUAACGGAGAUACAGGUAGACUCACAGGUGUGCUCACAGGGAGACUUCCAGGUGUGGAGCAGUGAUGGGGCUCGUGAUCAUGCUUCUAUUCGUGGGGUUAUCAUGUUUCUGCAUUGGGUUCUACACCCAGAGAGUCACACAGGGAACUGGACAAUCAGAUCGCACAGGGAAAUUCAACCAGACCUUCCCACUUAAAGAGGGCAGAAAGUCAGAAGAAAUACCAGACGAAGUACAGUACGACAUCUUCACCGCACCGAAGGACGCCAUCUAUUUUAUCCACGGCCAGGUGAGCAGAGCAGACGGCAAGGGGAAAGUCUACCUGUUUUGGAAACUCACUAGCAGCCGUAACAUCAACACCAACGACGGAAUCUGCCCUGAGAUCACCUUCGCUACUGAGGUCAAGUUGUUCAAAGGUUGUCAAGUUUACCUCGUCUUCAACGAGGGCAAACCCAACCUGAAAGAGAGCACUUUCACAGUCUACGAGCUUGUCUAGAAAUGUUAAGCCACACUGUAAGAUAGCAUUAAAGAUUUCAUUCCAUGAGUUAUCUGUAGUGCUCAAGGAAUGACAUUCCAUGAGAGCGACACCUGUGAACAAAUGUUUAACUCAUUUAUACUGAGGCUGUAUAGACCAGUACAGUACAGUACAGUUUACAUCUGGAUCAAAGUAUUGACCUUUGUUAUAACACAUAAGCUGGGUCAGUUGGUUAGUGUGCUGUCUAUACCAGUGUUUCCCAACUCCAGUCCUCGAGUACCCCCAACAGCAUACAUUUUGUUGUAGCCCUGGACAAGCACCCCUGAAUCAACUUGUCUACUUAUCAAGCCCUCAAUGAGUUGAAUGAGUUGAGUUUGACCGGGGCAACAACAAAAAUAUGUACUGUUGUGGGUACUCCAAGAGUUGGGAAACACCGGUAUAGACAGCAUACUAACCACCCGACACAGUUUAUGUGUUAUAACAAGGGUCAUAACCUUUAUGUUCAGGGUCCAGUCUACAUAUUCCCUCUGUGUGGUGACAUUCCCUCAGCCUAAGAGACAUGCACUAAAUGAGGGGGUCAUUUUGGAGCUGGCUGGUGGACUACCCAAAGCCG
rnacentral:lncRNA from 1 species